rnacentral:tRNA from 1 species
GCACUGGUGGUUCAGUGGUAGAAUUCUCACCUUCCAUGUGGGAGACCCAGGUUUGAUUCCUGGCCAAUGAA